CAUUGAAUGGCUGAAAUGUAAGCAAUGGUCUCUUAAACCAAAAUAUAGUAUUUAUACUUUCAAUGU
rnacentral:tRNA from 1 species